rnacentral:rRNA from 1 species
UACGGAGGGUGCGAGCGUUGUCCGGAAUCACUGGGCGUAAAGGGCGCGUAGGUGGCCUGUGGAAGUCUGCGGUGAAAGCCCGGCGCUCAACGCCGGGUCUGCCGUGGAUACUCUCGGGCUUGAGCUUACUAGAGGCAGAUGGAAUUCCGGGUGUAGCGGCGGAAUGCGUAGAGAUCCGGAAGAACACCGGUGGCGAAGGCGGUCUGCUGGGGUAAUGCUGACACUGAGGCGCGACAGCGUGGGGAGCAAACAGG